GCUCACCGUUUCCCUUUUAGGAUACCCACGCGUGGAUCAUCGUUGAAGGCUCUGCUUCCAAUUCUUCUCGACAUUUCCUUCCGUUUCCACUUCUCUCUUUUACUCCGCAGUCUUCUCUCCUUCUGUUGCUCUUCCCCUAACUCUCCUUCUCUACUGAAAGCACCAUAAUCUUUCAUUUUCCCCUCUUCUAUUCCUUCGGGUAAUUUUCCAGUACACUUUUCCGUCUGCUUCCCACACUAAUCUCACCCUGAACCUAACAAAUCCCAAAAACCCUCAAGCCAUCCAACAAAUUGAAAAAACACCAUCUUUGCCGAAAAUUUUGAAAUUUUCUUGGAAAUUCUCACCUAUCCCUGAGAUUUUCUUGGUGGGUAUUCGUUUUCAGGUCCCGUAUGUAAAAGGGUUUUGGAUUUGGUAGUUGGAGUUCGUCACCGUGUGGGUGAUCCCAGUGGCACUGAUUUUCAAUUUGGUUAUUUCUAUGGUUUUGUGUUGCGUAAUAUUUGGGGAUUUGGUUUGGGUCUGUGGGUAAGCAAUACUCAAGUUAAAUUUGGUUCCCUUUAUGUUCUUAAAUUUGUUUGACAGCAUCAUUUUUUGAUCCUUUACUGAAUAGCUCUUAAGAAAUGUUAGAAUCUUUAUUUGUUUUGAAUUUUUUUUUUAUAUUUUAUUUUCAAGCCUUGAAUUUGUUUUUAAUAUCUCUGUUAAUAAAAUAAGUUUGAGGAUGAAAUUUAUUCUUUCUUAACACUAGUUGACUGCAAAUUCUUGGUUCCAACCCCCAGUAACGCAACAUGCUCGAUUCCAAUUCUUAAUUAAGGGAGAUGAUGCAAAACCCAGAAUUUCUUCUUCAGUUGGCUUCUCCUGAGACUAUACAGGUAUAUUUAUUCUGGGUGCCUAAGGUUUUGAGUUUUGAAGUCUGUGUAUGACUAAUUAACCAUUGAGAUAGCCGUCAUAUAUGACACCGCCAAGAUUCUCAAUUCUUAGUCUUUCAUGUUUACAAUUUGGUUUGUGGUCUUUUGACAACUUUGCUGCUCUACCCAUUACCAAGCACAACUCGGCAAUCCCCAACAUUAGCAACUAUCAGGGUCCUACAAAAAUUACAAAAUACUCUUGAUUUUGCAGCAAUCACUUCUUUCGUAGCUGGUCGGCAACAGUAACAGUCAACCCAAUCGCAGACAAGCAAACAUUAUCAAAACUAUGUGUUUGAGUUGCAAAGAUUCAUAUGCAAAAUAAUAGGUGACCUCUUUAUUCUAUAUUUCUAACGAUUAUUUUUUUUUUCUUUUCCAAAAUCCAUGAUGAGCAAUUUAUGUUUCUCUUUCUUUAACAUUUUUUUCCUUUGGUUUUGCUCACUUAAUAAUUUGAUUGACACCUACUUUUUAGAUUUAGAAUAGAAUAUGGUUAUAAUUAUCUACAAUUGUGGGGUAAUUGGCAACACUCGACACCCUUUUAUGCCUGUUUGAAGGAACAAACAGAGUUUGUAAACCCCUGCCUUUCUCAUACAUGUUAUACUGUUUCAUUGGCAUUUAAUUUAUUUUCCUGUUUUGGUUUAGGCUUUUAGUUUUGUUUGAUUUGUUGUUAACUUUGUUAAUCUGGUAAGAAUUACAUUUUUCUAAUGUCUUGGAUUUAGAAUUUCGUUAUAAUUUCUUCUUUUUCAACGUAAUGGUUAAUCUGGAUAAGGAGGUAAUUUGCAUUCAAGGGAGGUGGGGCGGACUUUUUUGAGAAAGAAUCUCUUGGUGGAGUCCCCCGGAGGACAGAAUAGUACUAUUUACUGACCAGGAGCGGAGAGCCCAAUUUCAUUACAAUUUCUUCUUUUUCAACGUAAUGGUUAUCGAAUUAACUGUUUUUCCUUUAAGGGUACCAACAGCAGGCUAGACUCAUACCUUUCGAUUUUUUUCUUCUGAAUUCCCCAAACAAUACCAAUGUUAUUUCCUUUUUUUUUUCAAUUUAUAAAUUUUGUACAUGGAAUCUUAUUCACAAGUGCAGUGUUUUCUAUUUGUUAAAGGCAUAAUAGUAUUUCCAUUCAGUUUAAUGUCAUUUUAACUCGGUGGUGGUUUACACAUAAUUUUCAGCAUUUUCCACAUAGGUUCUGAUUUUAAUUGUUUGCUAAAACCUAUAGAUUGUUAAACUAAUGACAAGCUAGUACUAUAUAUUGUUCAUAUCGAGGAGGGAGACAUUUUUAGAUUACCCUGAAAUAUAGCUAGGAAACAUCUGUUCUUUUUUAUUACGGCAGACAUUGGUACCCUACAAUGUUGACUUUCUUUAAUGCUUGCUCUGGAUUUUACAGUAUCUUUUUAAAGUUUAUUUGGUUGCUGGAAAAAAAAAAAAAAACUCAGAAAUGAAGGGCUUUAGAGUUUGAUCAUUUGUGCCUCAAAUUUGGUACGGUUUCUUUCCCCUAUAUAAUUUCGACUGGUAAUAUAGAUUUUCAUCAUAAAUUAUUGUAUUCUUUUGCAAAGUUGUUCACUUUUUACACUUCUUUUUAACUUUAACACCACUUCACCUGAGAACUCAACUUCAAUUAGAGAAAGAGGAAGAGGAGCAUAGAAGUAUGUCCAGUACUCCUUUGUUUCAUUGGAAAUUGUUUCUCUAUAACACAUUGUGAGUCGAGGAAUCUCUUUCUUUUGAGCUGGCCAUGUCGGAGGAUAUUUUUACUAACUUGGCCGGAUUCUGGGCCUUUUAUUCAGGGUUUUGAAGAUGUUGGGGACUUCACUGUGACAAAGAAAUUGAAGAUUUAGGUCUCGUUUGGCAGCUCGGACUGUACUGAUUAUUUCUGUCGGAUAGGAUAAAUAGCCACCGGAUAGUAUUGACUAAAUUAGUCGGGCGUUUGGUACAGUAUUAGAUUAAUGA